UGCUUUUUUCUUCUCUGCAUUUGUUGUUUUUUUUUUACUUAGUUAAUGUUAUCCAUUUUAUUAGCAAAGGAAUAUGCACCUAUGUCGCAAUUGCAAUCAAACAAAUCUGAGUUCAGGUGGCUACGACCUGUUUGUGAAAAUCCCCGUAAGAGAUAUGGGGAUGUUUACGGAAUGUAUGAUAAAGGUUUUGUGCACCUGAAAAUUGUGGGAUAUGCAGUCUUUAGAUCAUUAUUUGCUCGUGUGAGUCAAUUUGCAUAGUCGGUUUUGUUAAUAGUUUGUUAAUGAGUUAUUGUGGCAAAUUCUGUGAGUUUGAGGCUAUUUGUUCUUAUCAAACACAUUUUAGCUGAUGCAUAUAUUUGGCUACCAAUUCCCACUUGAACUUUUACGGAUAUUUGCUUGUUUAUGAAAAUUUUCCAGACUUUGCUGCUUCAGGAAUGUACACUAGCUUUGUAGUUUACUCGUUGUUGUGUUGCCAAUUGCCUUACCCUUGUUAGCGUACUACCAAUCAUUCAGCUUCCAGAUUGACAGAGUGUAAUAAAUAAAUCUACUAAUAAGAAAAGUGAUGGCUCCGUCAGGCUUGAUUUCUUGUUGCAGAAACACAGGGUGCUGCUUGUUCUGGCUUAGACAGAGACUUGCAUGGUUACUUGGGAUGGCUUUCUCACACAAGCAAUUUUAGGUGCAUGCGGUGGACUGGACAAAUAAGAGACUUCCUCUGAGGCCAGCCUUCCGAUUGAAAAUGCUGGGUGCUUGGGUUUUGGAAUGACCACUGUGUCACUCGCCAGCAUUACAAGAACAUCCGACAUGGUUGGUCUAUCUCUUGCAUCUUCCUGAACACACAACAAACCAAUCUGUAUGCACCUCUCUACUUCACUGCCUAUAAAGGACUUUUCCAGCAUUGGAUCCAUCAUUUCCAAACAUUUUCCUUCAGACCAUGUUCUCCAAGCCUGCACAAGGAUUUGUAGUUUUUUAAUACUCAUAAGCCUUAGUUAUCUUAGCAUUGUUGAAUAAUCUCUUGACCACAUUAGAGUGAGACUUACGUAUACAAGGAGAGUUUGACCAUCUGACAUGUAGAAUCCACCGUUCUUUCUCCCGCAAAUGAUUUCUAGAACAAGAACUCCAAAACUGAAAAUAUCAGAUUUCACUGAAAAUAGUCCAUCCAUAGCAUAUUCAGGAGCCAUGUAUCCACUGAUAGAAAUCAAUAGAGCUUUGUUAUUAUCUCGAGUCAUGGAACAUAUAGCAAAGAAUUCCAGUUCAGAAUAAUAAAGUACUAAAAUAUGCAUUGAUAAACCUAUUUGUUUUCGAAGUAUUUGUUAUUAGUAGAACUCACAAAGUGCCCAUUACUCGUUUUGUAUUUGCCUGGUUCUGUCCUACUUCGAAUGCCCUUGCCAAUCCAAAAUCUGAUAUUUUGGGAUUCAUGUCAAGGUCUAGUAGAACGUUGCUGGCUUUGAGAUCUCUAUGAAUUACUCUGAGUUGAGAGUCCUCGUGAAGGUAUAAAAUUCCUCUUGCUAUUCCAUGGAUAAUGCUUAACCUUAGUUUCCAAUCGAAUUGUUUUCUUCUCUCAACAUCUGACAAAACAAUUACAGGACAGAGAUUUGAAAGAAAAAAAAAAAGAAACAGUUAGUGACGCAAAACAAUUGGCAAAUACAUCAAAUGCUAAGAUUUAGCCAUAGGAUUGGAAAAAAAA